rnacentral:rRNA from 1 species
CACGUAGGGCGCAAGCGUUGUCCGGAAUUAUUGGGCGUAAAGAGCUCGUAGGCGGUCUGUUGCGUCCGCUGUGAAAACUCGGGACUUAACCCCGAGCCUGCAGUGGAUGCGGGCAGACUAGAGGUAGGUAGGGGAGAAUGGAAUUCCCGGUGUAGCGGUGAAAUGCGCAGAUAUCGGGAGGAACGACCGGUGGCGAAGGCGGUUCUCUGGGCCUUACCUGACGCUGAGGAGCGAAAGCGUGGGGAGCGAACAGG